rnacentral:rRNA from 1 species
UGGGGGAUAUUGCACAAUGGGCGAAAGCCUGAUGCAGCGACGCCGCGUGGGGGAUGAAGGCUUUCGGGUUGUAAACCUCUUUCGCUAUCGAACAAGGCCCGCUUAGGGUGGGUUGAGGGUAGGUGGAGAAGAAGCGCCGGCUAACUACGUGCCAGCAGCCGCGGUAAUACGUAGGGCGCGAGCGUUGUCCGGAAUUAUUGGGCGUAAAGGGCUUGUAGGCGGCUUGUUGCGCCUGCUGUGAAAACGCGGGGCUUAACUUCGCGCGUGCAGUGGGUACGGGCAGGCUUGAGUGUGGUAGGGGUGACUGGAAUUCCAGGUGUAGCGGUGGAAUGCGCGGAUAUCUGGAGGAACACCGAUGGCGAAGGCAGGUCACUGGGCCAUUACUGACGCUGAGGAGCGAAAGCAUGGGUAGCGAGCAGG